UCUUAUGGCUGAGCAAAGAAAGUGGUUUCUUGAGUUGGAAUCUUCUCUUGGUGAAGAUGCUGUGAA
rnacentral:pre_miRNA from 1 species